rnacentral:rRNA from 1 species
CCUACGGGAGGCAGCAGUGAGGAAUAUUGGUCAAUGGCCGGAAGGCUGAACCAGCCAAGCCGCGUGAGGGAGGAAGGCCCAGAGCGUCGCAGACCUCUUUUGCCGGGGGACAAAAGGCCGGACUCGUCCGUUCCUGCGUGUACCCUGCGAAUAAGCAUCGGCUAACUCCGUGCCAGCAGCCGCGGUAAUACGGGGGAUGCGAGCUUUAUCCGGAUUCAUUGGGUUUAAAGGGUGCGCAGGCGGGCCUUUAAGCCGGCGGUGAAAUCGCGGGGCCCAACCCCGCCGGGCCGUUGGAACUGGGGGCCUUGAGUGCGGUGGAGGCAGGCGGAAUGCGCGGUGUAGCGGUGAAAUGCAUAGAGAUCGCGCAGAACCCCGAUUGCGAAGGCAGCGUGCCGGGCCGCCACUGACGCUGAGGCACGAAAGCGCGGGGAUCGAACAGGAUUAGAUACCCUAGUAGUC